AACGAACGCUGGCGGCAUGCCUAACACAUGCAAGUCGAACGAGACCUCCGGGUCUGGUUGCGCACGGGUGCGUAACGCGUGGGAACCUGCCCUUAGGCUCGGAAUAACUCCUCGAAGGGGGUGCUAACACAGGGUAAUGUCUUCUGACCAAAGAUAGAUCGUAUUUGGGUGGGCCCGCGUUGUAUUAGCAUGUUGCUAGGGUAAGAGCCUACCACGGCGAGGUUCGAUAGCUGGGCAGAGAGGAAGCGCCGCCACACUGGGGCUCGGACCCGGUCGGGAAUCUUACGGGAGGCGGGAGUGGGGGAUAUUGGAAAAUGGGCGAAGGCCUGAUGCAGCUAGGGCGCGUGAGUGAUGAUGGCGUGAGAGUAGUAAAGCUCUUUUACCCGGGAUGAUAAUGACAGUACCGGGAGAAUAAGCUCCGGCUAACUCCGUG
rnacentral:rRNA from 1 species